UUUAAAUGUAUAUUAUUAUGCUAAAUUAGUAUUAGUUAUGUUCUUGAAAAUUAAAGAUUUUGGCGGUAUUUUAGUCUAUUCAGAGGAACCUGUUCUAUAAUUGAUAAUCCACGAUUUAAUUUACUUUUUUUAUUAGCUUACAUAUCGUCGUAAUUUGAGUAUUUUAUAAGAAUUUUAAUAUUCAAGAUUUAUUAUAAUAAAAUAAAUCAGAUCAAGGUGUAGUUUAUACAGAAGAAGAAAUGGGUUACAUUAAAAAAAAUUAAGGAUUAUUAUUUUUAAAGUAAUAUAAAUUUGGAUUUGAAAGUAAUUUUAAUUAAUUAAUUAAUUUGAUUUUAGCUCUAAAAUAUGC
rnacentral:rRNA from 1 species